rnacentral:misc_RNA from 1 species
CCCUAUCAUACUACCUCGUCACUCUGCACCGCAUAUCUUUAGUGAGAUAAGAGGCACAGGAUCAAAAUGGCGUCUCUUCUCAGCUUGUGUUUACUUCUACAGGCUACGGUGACAGUGUUUGGAUACCCUAGUACAGACAACAUCAACUUCUACUGUGGCAGUACAAUCACUGUCUUCGAUUCCGUGAUCCUGAAGCUAAAGAGUUACUCCUGGCCUAACGACGAUACAUGCUCAGUUACGCUCACGGCAAGCAGCUUCUACCACACCAACGCCUACCUCUCUGUGCAGUUCCUCGACAUCGCCCUUCCUGACGGUCUUUUGGGCGACUGCUCCCGCAGUCGUGUGGAUGUCAAGGAUCCAUCUGGCACCUUCCUGAGCAGUCAGUCGGGUGUGUGUGGCUACACGACGCCGUUUGAUCAGCCCUGGACAAGCAGUGGCGACAGUGUAGUGGUCAGACUCAAACGUCUCCAGUCGGGGCAGACCGGGUCAUUCCGGAUCUUGGUGUCGCAGUUUGCCAAUGGUGUCUGUGACGAAUAUGGCGAAUAUGAUUGUGAUAACGGCCGAUGUGUGGACAGCACCGUCACUUGUGACGGCUACGACGACUGCACCGACGACUCCGAUGAAACCUCCGCCUGUACCUGGGGAGCAGGAAGCAUUGCCGGUGUUGCUAUCGCCGUCACCUGUACCGUCCUCAUAUUCUUCGGCAUUUCUUUUGCAGUCUAUAGACGAAGAACAUACGGGACUGUGUUUUGGCGUUCCCCCGUUAUGUACGGCGGUCAGACGGUAGUACAGAACAACAUGGCCCUCAACCCCCAGUACGGAGUGCAGAACCCGGCCCCCGUUUACACCGUGGCGCCCCCUCCAUAUAGCGCCACAUGAUCAACUAAACUCUCUCUUUGCUUUUUGAUGAAUAUGACAUGUUGUAAAUCAAAUAUGUAGAUACAAUACCACCGAAAAUGUAAAGUAAUCGCUUCAUUAUAGCGAGGCUGGUGUUAUAAAACAUGUAAUUUUUUUUUUAAUAGUCGUUUUUAAUCUAGAGACUUCGUGCAAUACUUGAGACAAUUAAUUUUGUAGAAUCAUUGAAACAUAUUUAUAUACAUAUUGAUAAAAAAAUUCAACAUUUAUUAGUUUUGACUUUCAAAUAUAACGUUUAGUAACAGUGACAAUUUCCCCUAUAUCCAAACCAUUCGGAGAAAAUUUCAUUAUUCAGCUUGGUAAAUAUACAUAUAUGCAGGUAUGUUUCUGCUGAAUGGGUAUAUAUAUAUAUAUAUAUAUAUAUAUGCAGGUAUGUUCCUGCUGAAUGGGUAAAUAUGCAUGUAUGUUCCUGCUGAAUGGGUAAAUAUACAUAUAUGCAUGUAUGUUCCUGCUGAAUGGGUAAAUAUACAUGUAUGUUCCUGCUGAAUGGGUAAAUAUACAUAUAUAGAUGUAUGUUCCUGUUAAAUGGGUAAAUAUACAUAUAUAGAUGUAUGUUCCUGCUGAUGGGUAAAUAUGCAUAUAUAUACAGGUAUGUUCCUGCUGAAUGGGUAAAUACACAUGUAUGUUCCUGCUGAAUGGGUAAAUAUACAUAUAUAGAUGUAUGUUCCUGCUGAAUGGGUAAAUACACAUAUAUAGAUGUAUGUUCCUGCUGAUGGAUAAAUAUACAUAUAUAUACAGGUAUGUUCCUGCUGAAUGGGUAAAUAUACAUAUAUAGAUGUAUGUUCGUGCUGAAUGGGUAAAUACAUAUGUAUGCAGGUAUGGCCCUGCUGAAUGUGUGACUAGGAAAAGAUUCCCCUUUUCAUUGACACCUGGUUUUAUCACAAGGAAUCCAUUUAUAUUAUUUCAAGAUCCUACUGGGAAAAUAAUCAAGACAGAUUUUUCCAGCGUCGACAUAGCGUCUUUAUGUAACGACGCACAAAUCUGUUCAACAUAGAUAACAUUUUGAUUUGGGGACACUGUUAGUGCAGUUAUCAAAUGGACGCUUUCAAAUGACAUCAUCCGUAUACAAUUAUUGAUAAAUGUCUGGAUUAAUUUGAAUGACUCUUGUUGAAAUAAAAGUAAUAUUUUUUUAA